GUAAGGAAUAUUGGUCAAUGGGCGCAAGCCUGAACCAGCCAUGCCGCGUGCAGGAUGAAGGCCCUCUGGGUUGUAAACUGCUUUUAUCUGGGAAGAAACACCCCGUUUCUACGGGGCUUGACGGUACCAGAGGAAUAAGCACCGGCUAACUCCGUGCCAGCAGCCGCGGUAAUACGGAGGGUGCAAGCGUUAUCCGGAUUUACUGGGUUUAAAGGGUGCGUAGGCGGGCCUUUAAGUCAGUGGUGAAAUCUCCCGGCUUAACCGGGAAACUGCCAUUGAUACUAUUGGUCUUGAAUUCAGUUGAGGUGGGCGGAAUGUGUCGUGUAGCGGUGAAAUGCUUAGAUAUGACACAGAACACCAAUUGCGAAGGCAGCUCGCUAAACUGACAUUGACGCUGAGGCACGAAAGCGUGGGGAUCAAACAGGAUUAGAAACCCGGGUAGUCC
rnacentral:rRNA from 1 species